rnacentral:rRNA from 1 species
CUUGGUCAUUUAGAGGAAGUAAAAGUCGUAACAAGGUUUCCGUAGGUGAACCUGCGGAAGGAUCAUUACCGAGUUGAUUCGGGCUCCGGCCCGAUCCUCCCACCCUUUGUGUACCUACCUCUGUUGCUUUGGCGGGCCGCGGUCCUCCGCGGCCGCCCCCCUCCCCGGGGGGUGGCCAGCGCCCGCCAGAGGACCAUCAAACUCCAGUCAGUAAACGAUGCAGUCUGAAAAACAUUUAAUAUACUAAAACUUUCAACAACGGAUCUCUUGGUUCUGGCAUCGAUGAAGAACGCAGCGAAAUGCGAUAAGUAAUGUGAAUUGCAGAAUUCAGUGAAUCAUCGAAUCUUUGAACGCACAUUGCGCCCUUUGGUAUUCCGAAGGGCAUGCCUGUUCGAGCGUCAUUACAACCCUCAAGCUCUGCUUGGUAUUGGGCACCGUCCUUUGCGGGCGCGCCUCAAAGACCUCAGCGGUGGCGUCUUGCCUCAAGCGUAGUAGAACAUACAUCUCGCUUCGGAGCGCAGGGCGUCGCCCGCCGGACGAACCUUCUGAACUUUUCUCAAGGUUGACCUCGGAUCAGGUAGGGAUACCCGCUGAACUUAAGCAUAUCAAUAAGCGGAGGA